GACGAACGCUGGCGGCGUGCCUAACACAUGCAAGUCGAACGAGGUCCAUGAGAGCUUGCUCUCGGACGACCUAGUGGCGAACGGGUGAGUAACACGUGAGAAACCUGCCUCGGAGUGGGGAAUAACUCGGGGAAACUCGAGCUAAUACCGCAUACCUUCAGAUGAUCGCAUGGUCGACUGAAGAAAGAAUUUCGCUCUGAGAGGGUCUCGCGGCCUAUCAGCUAGUUGGUGGGGUAACGGCCUACCAAGGCAACGACGGGUAGCUGGAUUGAGAGAUCGAUCAGCCACACUGGGACUGAGACACGGCCCAGACUCCUACGGGAGGCAGCAGUGGGGAAUCUUGCGCAAUGGGCGAAAGCCUGACGCAGCAACGCCGCGUGCGGGAUGACGGCCUUCGUGGUUGUAAACCGCUUUCAGCAGGGACGAAAUUGACGGUACCUGCAGAAGAAGCCCCGGCUAACUACGUGCCAGCAGCCGCAGUAAUAC
rnacentral:rRNA from 1 species